rnacentral:rRNA from 1 species
UACGGAGGGUGCAAGCGUUAUCCGGAUUCACUGGGUUUAAAGGGUGUGUAGGCGGAUAUUUAAGUCAGAGGUGAAAUCUCCAGGCUCAACCUGGAAACUGCCUUUGAUACUAUUUAUCUUGAAUUUUGUUGAGGUAGGCGGAAUAUAUCAUGUAGCGGUGAAAUGCAUAGAUAUGAUAUAGAACACCGAUUGCGAAGGCAGCUUACUAAGCAAAACAUUGACGCUGAGGCACGAAAAGCGUGGGGAUCAAAACAGG